rnacentral:rRNA from 1 species
GACGAACGCUGGCGGCGUGCUUAACACAUGCAAGUCGAACGGAAAGGCCCUGCUUUUGUGGGGUGCUCGAGUGGCGAACGGGUGAGUAACAAGUGAGUAACCUGCCCUUGACUUUGGGAUAACUUCAGGAAACUGGGGCUAAUACCGGAUAGGAGCUCCUGCUGCAUGGUGGGGGUUGGAAAGUUUCGGCGGUUGGGGAUGGACUCGCGGCUUAUCAGCUUGUUGGUGGGGUAGUGGCUUACCAAGGCUUUGACGGGUAGCCGGCCUGAGAGGGUGACCGGCCACAUUGGGACUGAGAUACGGCCCAGACUCCUACGGGAGGCAGCAGUGGGGAAUAUUGCACAAUGGGCGGAAGCCUGAUGCAGCAACGCCGCGUGCGGGAUGACGGCCUUCGGGUUGUAAACCGCUUUCGCCUGUGACGAAGCGUGAGUGACGGUAAUGGGUAAAGAAGCACCGGCUAACUACGUG